GUACGAGUAACGGUUAUCGAUAUCGAGUACAUAUCGCAACUAAUCGCAACUGAAAGUGUCAACAGUAUUUGAAAUCGUAACGAAAGUAUCGAAUUCGUAUAUACUCGUAUCGAUUCGUAGGUGAAAAACCGAACAAUCAGAAGUGCCACAAUGACAGCGUGAAAAUGACCAUAUACGGCGACGAAAACCGUCGUUCAUUGCGCACACCGCUUUCCACCCACGUGCGGGCGGCUGACCGUCGCUCGCGACGAUUAGGAGACCAUGCUGACACGUUGAAGAUAGAUGGAAAUUAUUUGUUGGCUAACACGAGCUGUAAUUGUAGGUAGAUCCAAUGAUGGGGUACAACGUGCGCCUACGUUUAAACGCGUAUGAAGUUAACGAUUUAGAUGCGAUGGAAGAAUCGAGAAGGCCGGUCAGAAUUCGAUCGUAAAUCGAAAUCGAUAUUUUUCAUCAGGGUCGAAAUCGUUGAGACGAAGAAAAGCACGCGCAUGUUUGCCCAAUUGGCGAUGUAGUUUAACAUGUUUUAUGCACGGGAGGACUCUUAACUUCUGGUUAAAUGGUAGCAUAAAUGCCGGUGGUAUGUAACAGCGAUCGUUUCAACGGGUUCAACUUCCUACCAGAACACAACGCUUGGCGUCCACCAGCACCAGCACACUGGAAUGCAGACCGACAGGUUUUGAACCGCGAUAAAGUAUAGUAACGACGUGUGUCUUGAUCUAGGUACUUGCGCGCAGGUUGGUACUGUGCUACAGUGUCAUGCGAUCAGUUCUUUGUAGUACGAAAAUAAAGACUAAUCACAAAUUUCAUGUUUCAGAAUUGAUAAAUAUCUUAGAAUAUUAUUUUUAUGCUGCUACAAGAAAACGUCAUUUUACUUUGUGUAUAGUGCAGUAAUUUUUCUUUGUAAAUCCCAGAAACUUGCGUGAAAGGUUUCUGCGCACAAGCGCCACAUUUGAAAUGUGAAAACGCGCCAAAUACGAAUGCACAAUAAAAGCAUACAUUUUUUAAGCAUUAAUAGUUAUACCUCAAGCAGGAAGGUAUGUCCAGAAAAUUUGAAUUCAUGCAGUAUGAUAGAUGCAAAUAAUUUAAGAGAGUUUAAAUAUAGAAAUAUAUAUUAAUAUAUUAUAUUCAAAUUAACAUGGAUUAACAACAAUUGAUCUUUGUAUUUUACAUUUCUGCAUUCAAUAACUUCAUUCAUGAUUACAUUAUGUAUAAUGUUAUAUGCAUAUUCGAUAAGGUUGCAAAUUUAAAUAAUCAACUCUGCUUACAUUUAAUUUUUCACAUUCUGUUCAUUAAUAAAGUUCGGUUUUGUUACAAUCUAAAAUAUUAAAUAUUCUACUCAAUUAUAUAAGCAAGGUCAAAAACUUAACAAACAUUUUACAAUGGACUGUGUUUAAAAUGAGUAAUAAUUAUAUUAAUAAUAAUAAUAGUAAUAAUAAUAAUAAUAAUAAUAAUAAUAUAUUACGCUAACAAAAUUCGCACAAUAUACAAUUUGUAGAUAUACAUAUAAAUAAACAUCUGUUCCUCAAAAUAAAUGAUUUCUGCGUUUGGCACGAUGUCAUGUAAUGGAAGCAAAUAAACACCAUGUUACAUUUUGAUUGUCCGUGGCUAGUUGUGAUACAAUGAAAUAUAUGAUUUACUUCGUACACUUGCAUUUUGGUGUCUUAAUUAUCGAUGAUGUUUUACUUAAGUCAACCGGUCAUAUGUUAGAAUAAUAAACAAUCAUUCAAUGUGAUGAUAAAUAAUAAUUUUAAUAAAGAUUAUUUAAAAAAAAAUAUUUCUACCAUGUACAAGCUACAAUGAUAUACAAAAAUACUCAAUAAAUAAGUCGUUUUAUACAAUUACUGCUUCAUCAAUUUUUACACUUAUCAUCUCUAUACAAAUAUUACAAUAAAUCAUUUAAAUACAAAUAUCCAUAGACCGGUUGACUAAGAGUAUUUUGCCCAAUAUCAGGAUUUACUGGUGUAUUGCUUUACGUUGCAUCACUAAUCGAUUACUAGAAUUUGUGACGGAUCGAUUAGCUACAUCACUAUUUACUGUAAAUGGCAUCCCACCCCCUAGUUAAUUAGAUUAGAAUAAACUACGUGGAAGAACAGAUCUUCAGUCAUAGCAAAUAAAAGCUAGACUUAAAGUUUCAACGAAUAGUAAAAACUGUGAUAUUACUUCCAAUAUAUACGUAGAUCAAAAUAUUGAGGUGUCAGCAAGAAUGCCAAUCAACAAUAUCAGAAAAACAUGAGUAACACCCAUUUCCCCAACCAAUAAAACUCAUAAAGAUGUAAAAACUUUCGUUUCACCAAAAUAUAACAACAACAAUAACAAGACAUGUUCCGUUUUGUAAUAAUAUCACAGACAA